GCCCGAAUGGCCAAGUGGUAAGGCGUCGCACUCGUAACCCACCAAUGCGAUAUGCGAAGAUCGCGAGUUCGAAUCUCGCUUUGGGCU